GUGUUCAGCCUUCUGGUGUUGGUGGAACAGGCCUUGGUCAGCCUGGGGUUGGCAAAGCACCUAAACCAGUCCUCCCAGCAGGUGUUGGAGCAGGUGGAUACCCCUAUGGAGGCUAUGGAGUUCCCUAUGGUGCUGGUGCUGGCCUUGUAC